rnacentral:rRNA from 1 species
UACGUAGGGUGCAAGCGUUAAUCGGAAUUACUGGGCGUAAAGCGUGCGCAGGCGGUGAUGUAAGACAGAUGUGAAAUCCCCGGGCUCAACCUGGGAACUGCAUUUGUGACUGCAUCGCUGGAGUGCGGCAGAGGGGGAUGGAAUUCCGCGUGUAGCAGUGAAAUGCGUAGAUAUGCGGAGGAAUACCGAUGGCGAAGGCAAUCCCCUGGGCCUGCACUGACGCUCAUGCACGAAAGCGUGGGGAGCAAACAGG